UACGUAGGUGGCAAGCGUUGUCCGGAUUUACUGGGUGUAAAGGGCGUGUAGCCGGGUUGACAAGUCAGAUGUGAAAUCCUGCGGCUUAACCGCAGAACUGCAUUUGAAACUGUUGAUCUUGAGUACUGGAGAGGCAGACGGAAUUCCUAGUGUAGCGGUGAAAUGCGCAGAUAUUAGGAGGAACACCAGUGGCGAAGGCGGUCUGCUGGACAGCAACUGACGGUGAGGCGCAAAAGCGUGGGGAGCAAACAGG
rnacentral:rRNA from 1 species